rnacentral:misc_RNA from 1 species
GUACGCUCACACCUCCGAUCUUUGGAUUGGGCGUGGUGGACUUGGGUGUUGCUGCUUGACUGUGGCUCACCUCAAAUGGGUUAGUGCAACUCUUGGUUGGACAUAGUACGGCGUGAUAAGUGUCUUCGCCGGCACCUCGUAAUAGAGGGUGGCUGAUCGGGAGCGCUGUGCUUUCAAACUGUCUUCAGACAACAACUGACA